AAUGAACGCUGGCGGCAGGCCUAACACAUGCAAGUCGAACGGGUCCUUCGGGACUAGUGGCGGACGGGUGAGUAACGCGUGGGAACGUGCCCCUUGGUACGGAAUAGCCCCGGGAAACUGGGAGUAAUACCGUAUGUGGUCGAGAGACGAAAGAUUUAUCGCCAAGGGAUCGGCCCGCGUUGGAUUAGGUAGUUGGUGGGGUAAUGGCCUACCAAGCCGACGAUCCAUAGCUGGUUUGAGAGGAUGAUCAGCCACACUGGGACUGAGACACGGCCCAGACUCCUACGGGAGGCAGCAGUGGGGAAUCUUAGACAAUGGGGGAAACCCUGAUCUAGCCAUGCCGCGUGAUCGAUGAAGGCCUUAGGGUUGUAAAGAUCUUUCAGGUGGGAAGAUAAUGACUGUACCACCAGAAGAAGCCCCGGCUAACUCCGUGCCAGCAGCCGCGGUAAAGUACAGUGU
rnacentral:rRNA from 1 species